CUUUCGGAGCUGUGCGGCAUUCUGAGCAGGAAUGGCAGUGUGGACCUCUGUGAUGGGACAUCUUGUGGGAUCUCACAGCCAGUUCUGUGGCAAAGGAGGAUGAAGGCUUACGAGGACUCGUCAGGAAGCUGGAUAACAGAGCGAGCGCAAUGUGCUAGAAUAGAAGACCAGAAAAUGAAAUGGUGGAGUUUGAGGCUGGAUAGACAGUUUGAAAGGUACAAAUAAUGGUUUGAAUAAAGAAAGGUAAGCAUUGUAUUAAUGGGUCACCUCAAGUGAAGGCACUGCAAACACAAUGAUUGGUCAUUCUGAAUUUCCGGUCCUUCAUUCUGAAUUUCAAAGGCUCCUGUGACAAGUGGACAUGCAGUGACUGCACCUUUGUUUCUGAGGUGCCUGGAUGGAGGCUCAAAUAGAAGAUGGUGUCAGAUAUAUUGUGUUAAAAUUUUACCAUUAAAGUGUAUUAUAACAUGAA
rnacentral:lncRNA from 1 species